rnacentral:sRNA from 1 species
UUCGGGGGUUUCUCCUUGCCCGUCUUCCGAGCGGCGCUGGCCACCAGGCCACCCUUGGGUGGCGUUGGCAGCGAGGAACUUCAGGAGCGAUCCCAGCUAGCGCCUACCAGGAAUCUUGGAUGUCUGUGAGGGCUGUUUGGCCACUCAUGUACGUGGGCCAAAUUCUUGAAUCCAGUAAACUUUGUUGAGUGUAUACCCUGUCAGGCAUUAUACUAAGGUCCAUACUAAAGUGUAGAGGUUGAUGGAAGUGUUCCGUAUUGCUUAAUGGUAGAGUUAUGUAUUAAGUUACUGCGGUCAGAUCUUGAUCUUUCUUGAUUGCAAAGUGAGAUUAUGACAUUGCUAGACUAAGCUUCUCAAGGUGUUCAGAUUUUGCAAAUCUAAAUGUCAUAAAAACUUUAAAAAGAAGCGCAAUCCUCGCAAAGUUAGGUGGACCAA